rnacentral:rRNA from 1 species
CCUACGGGGGGCAGCAGUGAGGAAUAUUGGUCAAUGGGCGUAAGCCUGAACCAGCCAAGUCGCGUGAGGGAUGAAGGUUCUAUGGAUCGUAAACCUCUUUUAUAAGGGAAUAAAGUGUGGGACGUGUCCUGUUUUGUAUGUACCUUAUGAAUAAGGAUCGGCUAACUCCGUGCCAGCAGCCGCGGUAAUACGGAGGAUCCGAGCGUUAUCCGGUUUUAUUGGGUUUAAAGGGUGCGUAGGCGGCCGUUUAAGUCAGCGGUGAAAGUCUGUGGCUCAACCAUAGAAUUGCCGUUGAAACUGGGAGGCUUGAGUAUGUUUGAGGCAGGCGGAAUGCGUGGUGUAGCGGUGAAAUGCUUAGAUAUAACGCAGAACCCCGAUUGCGAAGGCAGCCUGCCAAGCCAUGACUGACGCUGAUGCACGAAAGCGUGGGGAUCAAACAGGAUUAGAUACCCCAGUAGUC